rnacentral:misc_RNA from 1 species
CGAAUGGGUCCAAAGACUCUUAAAACCUACCGUGCUCCCCUAUGUGGAAAACAGGAAAGCCCUCCGGGGCAUAGGAAAUCAGAGAAGUUGAGAACCGCGCCCCGGCGCAUGACUAAAACAAAAAAUUA